UACGGAGGAUCCGAGCGUUAUCCGGAUUUAUUGGGUUUAAAGGGUGCGCAGGCGGGAGAUUAAGUCGGCGGUGAAAUUUUGCAGCUCAACUGUAACAGUGCCGUUGAUACUGGGGAGCUAGGAUUUGGUUGCUGUGGGUGGAAUGUGUGGUGUAGCGGUGAAAUGCUUAGAGAUCACACAGAAUAUCGAUUGCGAAGGCAGCUCACAAAGCCAAGAUUGACGCUGAGGCACGAAAGUGUGGGGAUCAAACAGGAUUA
rnacentral:rRNA from 1 species